rnacentral:ncRNA from 1 species
GGGAAUCCGGUGAGAAUCCGGAGCUGACGCGCAGCGGUGAGGGUGACACCGGAUCAUCAAGCCACUGGGCGACCUGCCCGGGAAGGCGGUCCGGUGGCAGAACCCGAGUCCGAAGACC